rnacentral:rRNA from 1 species
UACGAAGGGGGCUAGCGUUGCUCGGAAUCACUGGGCGUAAAGGGUGCGUAGGCGGGUCUUUAAAUCAGGGGUGAAAUCCUGGAGCUCAACUCCAGAACUGCCUUUGAUACUGAAGAUCUUGAGUUCGGGAGAGGUGAGUGGAACUGCGAGUGUAGAGGUGAAAUUCGUAGAUAUUCGCAAGAACACCAGUGGCGAAGGCGGCUCACUGGCCCGAUACUGACGCUGAGGCACGAAAGCGUGGGAGCAAACAGG